GGGCCCGCACAAGCGGUGGAGCAUGUGGUUUAAUUCGAUGCAACGCGAAGAACCUUACCUACUCUUGACAUCCAGAGAAUUAGCUAGAGAUAGCUUAGUGCCUUCGGGAACUCUGAGACAGGUGCUGCAUGGCUGUCGUCAGCUCGUGUUGUGAAAUGUUGGGUUAAGUCCCGCAACGAGCGCAACCCUUAUCCUUGUUUGCCAGCACGUAAUGGUGGGAACUCCAGGGAGACUGCCGGUGAUAAACCGGAGGAAGGUGGGGACGACGUCAAGUCAUCAUGGCCCUUACGAGUAGGGCUACACACGUGCUACAAUGGCGCAUACAGAGGGCUGCAAACUCGCGAGAGUAAGCGAAUCCCAGAAAGUGCGUCGUAGUCCGGAUUGGAGUCUGCAACUCGACUCCAUGAAGUCGGAAUCGCUAGUAA
rnacentral:rRNA from 1 species